AGUGAACGUUGGCGGCAGGCCUAACACAUGCAAGUCGAACGGCAGCACAGCAGUAGCAAUACUGUGGGUGGCGAGUGGCGGACGGGUGAGGAAUACAUCGGAAUCUGCCUUAUCGUGGGGGAUAACGUAGGGAAACUUACGCUAAUACCGCAUACGACCUACGGGUGAAAGCGGGGGAUCGCAAGACCUCGCGCGAUAAGAUGAGCCGAUGUCGGAUUAGCUGGUUGGCGGGGUAAAGGCCCACCAAGGCGACGAUCCGUAGCUGGUCUGAGAGGAUGAUCAGCCACACUGGAACUGGGACACGGUCCAGACUCCUACGGGAGGCAGCAGUGGGGAAUAGUGGACAAUGGGCGCAAGGCUGAUCCAGCCAUGCCGCGUGGGUGAAGAAGGCCUUCGGGUUGUAAAGCCCGUUUGUCCGGAAAGAAAAGCACUGGAUUAAUACUUCGGUGUUCUGACGGUACCGGAAGAAUAAGCACCGGCUAACUUCGUGCCAGCCGCCGCAGUAAAAC
rnacentral:rRNA from 1 species